AAACUCUAAAGUCUCAGAGCGUGUGGAGUUUUAGUACUCCCAGAUGCCAAUCAAUUGUAAGGUUCAAGGUUUUCAUGUUAGCAUUACUCAAGUAGGUCAACUAGGAUAUGGUCUCUGCACACACCCUUGGGUGGUAGGAUCCAAGAUGCUCUGUCCAGAAUUCAUUUAUUAAUCCAAACCAUUGGGUCAACCUCAUUCUGUAUCAAUGUAACUUAUAUGGUUUUUUGAAAGUGUCUGAGAGAGAGAGGGGAGAAGAAGGGAUGGUUUUUUUCACCAUUCCCCAUGCAAAGGGUGGGUUAUUUAUUUAUUUAUUUAUUUUAAUAUUUAUAUUUGAAUCUCAAGAGAGAAGAAGACUGCAGUGCAAAACUGUAUGCCAGAAGCCUAAUCUUUCUGAGAACAGUAAGGUCAGUUCAAAAUAUAACUAGAGACCAAGGCAGGCUCUAUAAUCCAGGAGAGCACCUGGUGGUACCAACCAUUCUGACUUGUGUAUUAAAUUUCCCCUGCCUGGGGGGGAUGCAUUGCUUCCAUCUGCAAUCUCCCCCCAUACUGCCAAAAAGUCGUGUGAAGUUGGCCAUGGAACAGGUUCCUUGUUCCAGAGUCAAGCCCAGUUCCGACAGUUGUGGUUGGGCACCAUGGUGAGCAUCCAAUUGAAUGGCACUGGCUGACUGUAACAAAAGCUUCUGUAAUUUAGAUGAUGAAAUCAUCCCUUCGUGACUGGUUUGACCCAUACUUCAUUCUCUGAACUUGACAAGAAAUUUCAAUGUGGUGAUUGUAGAUUUCAUGAAGAGAAGCAAUAGGAAGUGUUUUACAAGUAGUCUGACAACUAGUUUGGCAAGGCAUCUCAAUUUUGAAAGGGAUUAAUGGAACAAUGCAUAACCAUUAAAAGGAGAUGAGUAUAUUAUUCACAUGGAUGCAUUAUUAUUUUAACUCUACGAGCUCAUUGUUGUUCUCUAUGUGGAUAGAUAAAAACAAAAAAUCAGCUUUAAAAAUGAAUUCAUGAAUGAUCUUGCAGAAAGUGAGUGUGUGUGUGGGUAUGUAUGUAUGCAUAUAUAUAUAUAUAUAUAUAUAUUCUUUCAUAUUCUCAGUUGUAUUGUAUUUCUUUAUUCACCCACUGCACAUUCUACAUAUAAAUUGUUUUCUUACAUAUUUUAUGAAACAGAUGUGAAAUUCACAUGGAUGAAGCAAUCACACUCCAUAUGAUGCAUCAAGUGAAGAUUUAUGUAUAUAUUUAGGGUUGUGUGUUGACUAAAUGGUGUCAGAGAAUUUGAUAAAUAAAACUGUCAUGCACAUAUUUUGAGAACUGUGUCUUGAACCGAGUUUAUUGGGUAAGCCACAAGGUGAAAAAAUGAUAUUUUAUUUCACAGUAUGGGAUGAUAGCUAGAUUCGGGUUAAUUAAAGCUAUAAAUGUGAAACUUUAAAUCCCCCAAAGUGCCAAACAAUAAAUAAAUUUAAAGAAUCAUAUGUAUGUAUAUAUAUAUAUCUAUAUAUAUAUAUUUAUUUAUUUAUCUCUACAUAUAUAUAUAUAUAAACACACACAUACACACAUUACAGGUAUGACCCACAAUACCUUGAAGUGUGAGAUUCUUUAUCAGCUUCAGAAAAUUCCCUUCACCACAGGCUGUGCACAGAAUUCAAUGAAUUUGGAGCAUUACUGUAGGAAACAAUAAAGAAGAAAAGAGGAGCAGGGAAUAAGAAUAGGAAGAUUAAAGAAAAGGGGCAUCAUACACUGAGGCUGGAAACAGCAUCAGACUAUUUUGCUGUUGCUAAUUGAUAAUGUGUUGCACCAACUCAGUCUAUUAUAGGAAUAGGCCAUGGCAUAAAACAUUGAAACCCCUCUUUA
rnacentral:lncRNA from 1 species